GGCGUCAGUUUUUUUUUCCUCCUUUUUUAGCUAAACAAAGCAGAAAGCAUUAAAAAAGACGAAGAAAUAUUUUCCCGUCACAGUUUGGAAAAAGUCAACUGAAGGAACCUUUGAGUAAAUAAAUGGAUUCUGAGCGGAAAAGCAGAAGCAGCAGAAAACCGAACAGCGACAAAUGCCUCCAACUCACUCCCACGAUCAACAGCUGCAAGCUGCACGUGAUGUGCACCAAAACCUUGGCUGCAGAAAAGCUGCAGAGGAUGAUUUUGAAUAAGGAAACAAACAUUGGAACUGUUCUAUCUAACGCAG